GGGAAUCUUGCUCUCUUUGACUGUGCUGGUUACCUCUGCUUUUUCACAGAAGAAGCCAGCCAAGGGCAGAGUCUCUAAAAGAUGUCUUGAAUGAUCUCAGUGAAGAUCCAGGAUCCCAGGAGAUCAUUUGCAGCUCUUUAACAAGAAAAAGCUCCAUGUUUUUGUACAGGUUGCUAAUCAUAUUUCAAACCAGAACCACCCGCUGAAGACCUGCAGAAACAAAAGUGGAAGGAUUCUUAAUGUCCUAAUUUGAGAGGAGGUUAUAGCACAAUAUUAUUAAGAUCAAACUACCUCAUGCUUGAAAUCAAGAACAAACCAAUCUUCUUUGACAAAAAGGGGAAACUCUUGCAGCCCAGCAGUGAUGAAUCUUGAUGUUCUCAGCUGUUAAACAGACCUGAGCAUUGCCCCAGAGUGAAAGAGUCCCAGUAACCACUGCUUUUGCAGCAGCAGCUGUGAGCCUGCCCACUACUUGAUAUGUAAUGCAUUUGUCAUACAGCCUGGGUUGAAAGAAGUCAAACAGAGUAAAAGUCUAUUAUCUAAAGCUUCAGUCAGAAGGGAGGUACCUACUUAACUUCUCUCCUGAUGCUGAUGUGAACACAGCAUGUACUGCUCGUAGGUGGUGACUGAUAAGAGGAUCUGUGGUGGGGCUCCUUACCUGAGCACAGCCAGCGAACAGCCAAAUCAAGCCCAAGGUCACCAUAGAAGGGAGAGAAGAUUCAGAUCCACAAACUCUUGGGAUUGGCUAAUAGAAGAUCUCUGCUGUGAAGCCCAUCUUCAACAUGGCAGGGUCAUUGUUUCCCUCUGGCAAAGGAGAUUUUGUUUGCAACAGGUGAGGUUGAGUUGGUGCAAACUGCAAGCUCUGUGUAGUAGUAACUCCACCAGCUUGGAGGGUCUUUAUCAGAGAACAUCACUCAGUGAUUCAUACAAAAGAGGACAAGAAGCUGAUCUCUGGACAGGAAGCACAGAAAACUUCUGAGCUCGUGCCAGACCUCAGUGAAGUCUAAGGGAGAGCCCAAGAGUUCCAUCAUUGUUCUGUCAUUGUCCUCUCCUGUUAGCACAUGGAGCACAAUCAGACAGCAGUCCUACCAAGAGCCUCUAGGGGCUACUGCAGUUUAAUAAAUCACAAUAUAUAAAAUGCAAACCAGUUUUUAGUCUGAUAUGGGCUGUGUUAAUCUCUGGUGUGCUAUCUUGGACUUCAGAAGAGUUACAAGCAAUGGAAUAUUGCCCACUGAACCUUUGCUGACUGUUCUCACAUUGCCAGGAAGGAUAAAGGAUAAAGUUUUCUUUUGUGUGAGAGGGCCUGAACUUCCAACAUCUCCAAGAGCGCAGGCAACUGGUUUGCUUGAUGUGUCAGAGAAAGAGAGAGAGAAGAAAAAGUCUCCAUGUCUCAUGCUGCAGCCUGAUCAUAGCUGUUUCCAAGAGAGCUGAAAAGCUGUUUUCUCCUUUCUUCCUCUCCUCCUGUGUUGUGAUCUGUCAAGACCAGGAACUGGUUCUGUCGGGGCAUGGCUGUUUGCUCACUUAGCUUAUGUUCUGAGAAAUUCCCCAUGCCAAAAGUCCCUGAAGUUUAUAAUUAACCACAACAGAGCUUGAAGAUGGAUGAAGCUGAAAGAAGAGAGAGAGACACAGAGAGAAAAAUAUUGUACUGAAGGGUGUUAACAGGGGAAAAUGCUGUCACUGUGAAUAUCUGCCUGUAUAAAGCAAUGUUCAGCAAGGGAUCCCUGUCUGGUGUCCCUCAGGCUUAGCAGCAAGAGUGCAGUCAGAAAAGGGCCCAAACCUAUGAGCCUCUGAGCUCAUGAGUAAGUGGAUGAUUGUUAAUUGAGGUGGUUCCUUUUCCGAUCACCUCAUUCAAACAGAAGGGCAUGUCGUCACAUUUGCAAAGACACUUGAGAAACUGUUACUGCCUGAAAAAGUAUAGAUGAAGGAACCUGAUGUACAGAUCUGGUAAAACUCAACACCAUUUGCUGCAGUACUGCCAUAACUGGAUUUUGGUUUCUUAAGGAAAGAGGAGAGAUGAAGUAGGAAAGGCAGAUGUCUUCUCUUCUCCACCUAGGACCCAGGGACAGGAAGCCUGAACUUGGUUUAUUUCUUUGUAUCCCAUUAAGGAAAAAUAAAUGCUAUUCAAAAUGCUAUAUUUCUAUUCUUUCUGAAGUAUGACCAGAAAGUCACCUGAAGUAUGACCAGAAAGUCAUCCUAACAUCCUGAGUAAAGAUAAAUCACAUUCAUGAAGAAGUCACUCAGACUGGGUGAACCUCUGCCUCCUCCACCUCUGCUCCUCAGCCUCCUAGGAUCUCUCUGGCACCAAAAAUUCCCCUGCAAUUAUAGCCAACAACUGAAACUCAGCCUGAAGUCCAGAUAUAGAUUUCACACCCCUCUGGAGCAAUCACUGAGAAUUUCAGGGAUUUAAGGAGUUUCAAGAACUGCCUGCAAAGAGCUAAAUCUUAUAGAAGUAUUGCUCGUUCACCACCUGACACGUAGGGACUGUACUUUUUAUUUUAACACUCAUAAAACAUGUACAAGGGCUGAGGUGUUUUUGACACAUAAAUCUCAGGUACUGAAAGUUCACUCUUGUUCUGCUGCCUCUUACAGUUAUUUGAGGCAAUGUGCCACUCCCAAUAUUUCUGGAAAUGUAAUGGCACUCUUCCCACUAAAAGCCUAGAGUAUCGCUAUUAUACAGACUUUGGAAGUUAAACUCCUUUUGAGGAUUCUUGAUCUUUUUCUUAAAGCUCAAGUGUCACUUUCCUUGCCAGUCAGCCAAAAAUCAUAUUGAAGAAACCCUAAACUUUUAGAGAUACGGGCAGAAAAAUAGACUGCAUGUACAGCUAGUGCAUAUUCAGUAUGACCUAAAUUGUCCCAGGCACUGGAGAGGAUGUGCUCACUGUGUGGCCAUGUGCCCGUCUGCAGAGGGUGAAACAGGCACUCUGGUUCCUGGCUCCCCUCCUCCUGGCCCCUGAGCAAGAAAUAGCCAAGGACAGUUGUUCGGCCCAGGGGAGGUCUGAAGCCCCUCACCACUCAUCUUCUGGGAGACCACGCUGAACAUCUGACAAACCACAACGUUUCUGUGCUUGCAGGAACCUGCAGGAAAAUGUAAGAAGACUAUUCCUUCCCUCUUCUGUUUUCAUAUACAAUAAGUUGUUUAACAUAAAACAGUGAAAAAAUAUACAUCUGGCCUUUUAUUUACUGGCAGUUUCAGUUUCAACUCAUGAGCUCCAGUACCAAUCCCUGGUGCAACUCCAUUGACUUCAGCAGACUCCGCCAGAGGUCACAAUGUGCCAUUAAGAGUUGAAAUAAGACAAGAUAUGCAGUCCUGUUUCUUUCCAGCCCAUAAAACCAGUCUGAAAGAUUUUCUUUCCUGUCUUCAUUUUAUCCAAGAUCUAUCAAGAAUAUUGAGUUCUAUCUUUGUUUUUGCUGAAGGAUUGCUGAAGUGGAAAAAGCACUUUCUUUAAUUACAGGGAAAAGGGGCUUAAUCUAUAAUAGAAAGAUAGUAUUUCCUAGUUAGUUUCCACAUAUUUUAAUUCAGUGGGUGCUAACCAAAGAAAACCCAGCAUGUUCAGGAUGUUUAAAAAAAAAAAACCUUCCAUUCAUAUUUUCUUAAAUUUAGAGUUUGUGAUACAUUUUAUUCAAGUGUUUGUGCCAUACUUAGCACUGUCAUCAUGGGCUCCUUCCAGAAGUGUAUCUGACAACACAAUUAACAUUUUCACAUGUUGUUUGGGUUUUUGCUUUCUUCAGGACAGAUUUAUAUGGAAGAAUGUCUUAUUUUCUCCUUUAUUUGUUUUUAAAACAUCCCUCUGUCUGAGAGAAUGGCAAAAAAAAGAGGAACAAUUUGCACUAGGUAAAUGUGCACAGACUCAGAUGUGGUGGACCAAAUGAGCACAGCCCUGGAGCUUUUCCUUAAGCACUGUCUAAGAAGCAUCUGCCGGAUGCUUCUUACUCCUUGAACAGGAAGGGCCUGAGAGAGGGAAGAUACUGCAGUCCCCCUCAUUCUUCUUCCAAACUAGCUUUAGUUAACAAAGACCUGCUACACUCUGUACAUCAAACCCAGAGACAACCCAACAGUGACAGCACAACAUUGUUGUGGCUGAUAUUUUAUGGCCCUUUGCAACAUGGAGUAAGAAGUCAUACAGAAAUACUUUUCCAAACAUAUUUGACAGGAAUUAUUCAUUAAGGGUAUAUAUCUUCUGAGCAUGAAUAGCUUAGUGACCCUCCCAAGUCACACAGGCGACUGGGAAUUUCAAUUUGGUAAAAUAACACAGUUUGUAUAAUGGUUGCCUGUCUUGUAAUUGGCAUAUAAAAUAUUUCCUUGCAGAAGCAAACAACCAAAUAACAAAUGAAAACCAUAAUGCAACUCCACUGAUGAUCAUACUGAAAUCUGAAUUAGGUGUCACAGUAUGUGUCUACUGACAUCUACAUUGGAGUGGCAAUGGGGAGGGGAGGAAAGGCUGUCUCUGGUUUUGAUUCCUGAGGCUACAUGCAAUACAAAUAUACCCUGAAGUCAACAGACUUUCACGUUAUACAUCUGUGCUGAAUUUGCUUUCCAAUAUCCUAGAUUUGAUGUGGGCAGAUGGUGGAAGAGCUCUCCCUGGAAGCAGCGUGUUCUGCCCCCGAGAGGAAUGCCCUUAUGUCUCUUAGACAUGAACUGCCUGGCUGAUUAAUAAGCAGUGCUGUUUGGCUUAGGAGAAAGUUCACAUUUGCUUCUUUUGCCUGCAGAGUAGGACUUUACUGGGACAGGGGGGUUAAACUGGGACUGUCAGAGAAGUUUGGAGCAGGUGGUGAAAGUGACCAGAAGUGGGAAGGGAACAAAGGAGGAUGCUGUGUCCCCUGAGGGAACAACCGGUUGCCUGUGGUGAUUUUGUCUGGCGUGGCAAUGAGGAUGCCAGUGCCUGGAGCAGCAGAGAGGUGCCCCAUCUUCUCAGCCUUCACCGCCUGCUAGGCUUACCAAUGUGAUGUGGGCUCUCCAGGUGAUCCAAAAACCCCAUGACUCCUGGCAGAGAACCUGGUGCAAAGUCUUGUUCUCUGAAAAGACUUCUUUCUUCCCCUGGAUAAGGAAAAUCCUCCUGCUCCUAAGGGGGACAAAAGCAGCCAUUCAGUUCAGAGCUGGGGCUGUUUUCACAGCUUCCAGCAGACACACUGUGCUUCAAUACUGCUGAUAAAUCUAUUAAAUGAGAGCACAUGCUUUUAGAGGGCAAGUGGCUACUUUACCUAAAUGCUAUUUACAUGUAAGUGUUAAUCAAGAAAUAUGUUCUAAUCCAAUUCUACCACAAUAUUGUUUUUCCUUCCUUUCCCUGACCCAGUAUCUAUAUGAACAAAGGGCACAAAAGACAGAACUGUCAUUUGAUUUAUUUGAUUUUACUGACUGUGUUUAUCACUAACUGUCCAUUUUCUUUAACUUUACAUAAAAUCAGUGUUUGGGACACUGAAAAGGUAGAGACUUCUAACACAAAACUAUGUUCACUGACUUUACCCAGGACACCAAUAGUGAAGGUGAUAGAGAAACAACCCAAAGGAAUAUAUUCACCUCAGAGGGACAAUUUAAAGAAUGGUAAUGCAGGCACUUCUGCAGAGGACCCACCCCUGCAUUUCCUACAGAGAAAUAGGAAGAAAGUGAGGUUGCUCUGGGGCUGUGGGUAAAGCCGAGCAGCCCUCCCCAACUCAUGAUGCCACACAAGGAUGGGACUGACAGUCAUUUUUGGGAAAAUCACACAAGUGACAAGAUCUGGGAGGAGGGGGUUAAAAGGCCUCUUGGAUAAAACCUAAGAGGUCUUUGUAAGUAAACUGUAGAAAUAAGUUUUUAGGUGUAUGUGUUGACAAUAGCAAGUUGAGAGCAAAAUGCUCCAAAUAAAAUUCAUUUUUACUGUGGCUGCUUGAAGCCUGCAGAUAAAGAUGCAGACCUGAGACCAGUGGGACCACUCUAGAAAGCCUGUUUGAAACCAACACAGGAUUUCACAGGGCUGUACUUGCGACUUUGCUUCCACAGAGUCUUCACUCAGCCCUGUCAGUAUUUACAAGGAUAUUUCUAGAUGCCUGCAGACUUCAGUGUAUGACAAAUGCUACAAAAUAAGAAAAAUUAAUUUCUUGGCUCUUUCUCAAGAUGCUGUAAAGGUAUAAAAAAAUUUAAUAGUCAUAUUAACUUGAUAUGCUUCAGAACAUUAACUCAAGAGACAAUUUUUUUCAAACAGAUUCACAAUAUUUAUAAUAACCCUUAUGCUAUGCUGCUUGUUGCCACCCACAUGAAGGAGCUGCCAUACAAUGUUGUCUUACAUUAUUUGCUUAGCUGCAGAAAUUUUGGCAUGGUAUUGUAUAGAAAAUGAAAGGAAUGAACUGUGUGCUGCUGAUACAUUUUCUCCUCCUGCAGUUUCACGUGGUUACAGCUCCCAUGUCGCACCCCAGAGGUGACUUCAUUACAGUGAGUGAAUGCUUUCCUCUGUGUUAGAAUGUGUUUGUAAAAUAUUGCUUGGAAUUAAAGAUACUGGAUGGAUUUCUAAUUGGACAUUUAGUAUAGCUAGCUGGCACGUUGGUGACAGCCUCAUUUAAUGUAUACAGCUUAAUUGGGUAGCUCGUUUGCCAAGCCCCAACUGGCAGCAACAAGCACCAGGUUCAACAUCUAGAUGUCCAUUUUUAACAUCAUCUUGAGACACCAUCCAAAACCAGAGAGAAACCAAAUCAAACUGUGAGAACACUUAGUGAGCAAUAUAUUCCCUGCUCACAAGCAGUGAAUCAAACAGGCUUAUUCAAAGAGCACCUUAUUUGGGAGACCAUAAAAGCAAAAAAAAAAGAACAGCACAGAGAAACAAUCUAUGAUAGGCCCUUUUGGUCUCUGCUCCAGUCCCUUCUCAAAGCAGAUGAAUAAUAAUUCAUGUUGCUCUUCUUUUAGCAUGAUGCUGCUUAUUGCUUUGCACAACCAGACCCAUCACUUCCUGAAUAUGAAGAUACUGAAUUUUCCUAAUUUAGACCUUUUGAGAAAAAUCUCAGCUUACUGUGAAGGGGCUAACAUCUCUCCUGAUAGCCUGCUUUAUUGUUGUUUCCACUUCUCCCUAGGAAUUUAAAAAAAAAAAACAAAACCCAAGAGACAGCACAUGAACACCUCACUUAAAGAAAGGAGCUUCCUUAAAAGUAGGGUCCUUUCAUACUUCCUGAGUUUCUUUGGCACAGUUCUUUCUUCUGCAGCAUUAGAUCUGGGCAUCUGGUCAGGCUCAGUAAUACUUCACUGGUUUCAAUGAAAAUGCCAUUAAAAAAAUGUCUUAGAGGUCAGGGUUAACAGUGUCUCUCAAAAAUUUACUAGCACUAACAAGACCCAAAACUUACUCUAAUCUUCAGCAGUUGUCAUUGUUCUCUGGACACUUUUGCUUGUAGAGCACUGAGUAAGUUCUGUGUCUUCUCAUACUCCAGCUAGCAGAGUUCAUUGCUGAGAGAACAAUCUCACUGUUAUGCACAGGAUUUUCAGAAUCACAAUCCUCUCUCUUAGUCCUUUUCAUUGAUUCCAGUCCACAUAUUGAUAUUUGUUUUGGAAUAUGAUAUUUUGAUCAGUAUUAAACUGAGUUUUGUGACUUGGCUUUUUUUUGGAGAUAAAAACAUAGUGGAAAUGUUAAUCUUAUUGGCUAACUAAACAGUGAUGCUAAAUGUGCAAUUUUAACAUCUCUUUCCUGAGAUACGUUGGCUACUAAUAGUCUUCAAUUUUACAAAAACAAUUUUUCUACAAUCUGUGUGGUUAGGCUGAAAAACAUGGUUAUACAGCUUGGCCACACAUUCUCUCAAAAUAAAACCAGCAAUAAAAUAUGUAGUGAAGACUGAAAUUUAUGAUAUACAUCAGACAGAGAUGAAAACCGUCUCCUGCUGAAAACAAAGGCAAAUUAAUCAUUGAUUUCAUUUCAGUUGGGAUGUCAGUCAAGGCAUGUCCAUGUCUCAGACCUUGUUCACAAGAAACAUGUCUUUAUGUGUGCAACAUCCCCCCCAUCCCCAUCCCCCCUACUACACCCACUUCCAUUUCUUGUCACGGUUUCUUCAGAACCAACCAAAAUCCCAUGUUUUGGAUUAUAUGAGAGUCCAUCAGUUCCAAAAAACAAGCUCCAAUUCAAGGACAGCCUGUUACAGUUGUGCUUUCCACUGACAAAAAUCACUAUUUCUAGCAGAAAACUAUAAUACCUAAAUGCAGUUGGAAGUCAGAUCCUUGGUAGAACAGUAUAGCUUUAUUAAAGAUGACUAUGACUACACUCAUACCGGUGGCUCAUCUGAUUGAUGAGCAGAGUCUCACCCUGUAAGACUGCAAGAGAGAAAUGGAAGGAAGGAAAACAUUUUCCUGUGCUCCCUCAAGAAAGCAGAGAAAAAAAAUGGUAUUAAAUGGACCAUAGAUGCUAAUGUGUGAUGCUGACUGUGGAUGAAGUUUGCAGGACUUGCAACAUUUUCUGAGCACUCAGAUCAGUGGCAAGUUUUGAGGUGUAUUCCUUUGGAUUGUAAUUUAGACCUGAUUGAGAAGCCUUUUUUUUAAUCUCAAAACUGGAGACCUGCUAUAUCUUAAUUGAGCUCACCAUACCAUCCACUAGACUGCAGUUGAAUUGAACAAGAUGAGAGCUGAAAUGGGAACAAACUCCUUCCCAAAGAAGUCAGCUAUUGCAGAAAUGAUUCUGGGGUAGACAGAACUGGUUUUCUGGUACUCAGGUCUACUUACCCUGUAAAUGGCACUUUCAAAUUAAAUUCCUUUCCUUGAGACAUUCACAAACCUCUCUUCCUUAGACAGGAAGAUGCCAAACAGAGCAGGAGGUACUGACUGCUUCAAGAUGCACUGUCUUCAACAGUGGUGAAGAUUUAUUUCGGUGGUGCCUGAGUGGGAUGGAGCUAUUAGGGAAAUUAUUUACUCUGAGAAGGAAAUUAAUACCACACAAAACAAGAAGAAAGGAUCUUGUUCCCGAAAUUCUUUUUCUCCUCUUUAAACCAGAGGAAAGAAAACUCACCUAAAGAAUGAGGCAUUUAGAAGGUUUACAAUUUAUUAGGUGCAGAGAAAUAACCUUGGCAAAACUUGCUUUUCUGUGUCAAUACCUUGAGCAAGAGCAGAUUCAGACAAAUGUAACUGGAAGUACUGAAGGAAUGAGAAAGAUUUAAGAGCAGUGAGAUGCUGCUGUCUUGUAAAGCUGUGCUAAUUCAAUGUCCCAUCAAACAUCCUGGCACAAGCAUACAGCUCUCUGCCACAUAAUCCAGACAGCAAACAGAAGCAAAAGAAAACAUUUCAAUUAAUAUACCACUAAUGGUAACAAGAUGACCUUGGCAUGUCUGAAUUUACCCUUUAGCAAAAUACAUGUAUAAAUAAAUAAUGACUGACAUUUGUAGUCUUAAUAAAACCAGUUGUGUUCUGUA